rnacentral:rRNA from 1 species
UGGGGAAUUUUCCGCAAUGGGCGAAAGCCUGACGGAGCAAUGCCGCGUGGAGGUGGAGGGCCUACGGGUCGUCAACUUCUUUUCUCGGAGAAGAAACAAUGACGGUAUCUGAGGAAUAAGCAUCGGCUAACUCUGUGCCAG